AUCGUGCUGAAUUCAAAAAUGAAUUUUAUUUUUCCAAUAAUAGAAUUUUUUAUUGGCAAAAGUUAUUUUCAAUAAUUGAGGAGCUUAUUUUCAAAACGUGUUAUUUCCAUUUUUUGCAAUUUUACAGGAAACAAACUGUGAGGAAAGUGAACAUCGCAAAUGUUUGCAAAAUUUCUUUUCCCAUUAGUAAAUAUUAGUAAACACGAAUGUUGAUUAGUAGUUUCAAAAGCAUAGGACCUUGAGAAUUCGUGUAAAAAAUAUCUGAAAUUUGGAAAUAACACAUUUUGAUCGAAAUGUGUGGAAAUAAUGCUUUUUGAAAAUUUACAAACUGGAAAUAACACAUUUCGAAAGUUAACAAAUCGGAAAUAACCUUUAUUGAUUAUUAGGAAGGUAAGAAUUACAUAUGAAAUUUCACAUUAGAAUGAUUACCACAUACUUUUAAUGUGGAAAAAUAAACAACCAAAAUUGACAUUGUACAAAAACAUAAAGAUUUGUAAUAAAGUUUGAAUAAGUACUGUGAUAAGUUUGUUCACAUCCUUCUAACUUAACUAAAUAAAAAUUUAUAUGAUCUUGGAAAACUUAAACCCUAUGUCCAAUGUUUACCUCCAUGCAUAUACAUUCCUCUCCUCCUAUAUUUUCCUCACGAGAUUCAUCAUUGCUGUCAUUAUUAAUAAUUGCUGCAUACCAUUGCAGAUCGUCUUGGUCUUGCCAGUUUUCAUCGAAUUGUUUGGUAAGAUGAUUACCUACAUUUCUCCUGUUUUCUAUUUUAAUGACCCGACCAACAGUAAUUUCUUUCAAUG
rnacentral:lncRNA from 1 species